rnacentral:lncRNA from 1 species
GUGAAUUGUAUGACUAAUAAUACAGCACAAUAAAAGGUGAAGGGGGGUUGCUACCAGCUGGGAGGAUAUAUUGCAUCAUUGCUGACCACACAUGGAAAACUAUCAGCAUCCAUUUAAUAUUUGGGAAGGAAGAGCGGGUUGUGCUUGGCCAACAGGACACAACGGAAAGCUUUUUCAGCCAUGAAUUAAUGACAAGGACAAAAAUUCCCGUUUGUUCCUUCAUGGAGAUGCUCCGUUGCUGCCGGACUCCAGCCAGGCCCCUCUGUCCUCCUGGUACAACUGCUGGGGAUGCAAGAAGCCCCUCUCAGUGUUUUGCAGGCACGCUUGUGUUGAAAAAUAAACUUCUGGGCAGAAGGAGCUUGUUCACAUCAGAGCUGGACUGGUAGCGAUUUGGGUUUCCCCAGCAGAUGGAAAGAGGUCAAGCUUUUGAGGAAAAAUUCAACCUUCCCUAAAUAAUGAGGAUUUCAGACACGCCAGGGAGAAGAAAAGCCUGAAACCGCAGUACCGGCUCCUUCUGGGAGCGCUUGGGAAGGAGGGCAGGACUGCAUGCCUGCAGUGUGUUCCUGGGACACCUCAAAGGGAAAAGAUGGUGCGUGGCACGCUCUCUGAGAAACUUGUUUUAACCCGGCGCGUUCUCUGCUGCACCAAAUCCCUCCUGAUGCCCCCAAACUGUGGAUCUAUGCUUACCGGGAUCUCCAGUGCUGGGAUGGGUGGCUUCGUGUCUUCCUCAGCUCUAGCUGGUGACGUGUGUGGGGAUCUACUGCCCUAAUUCACAUUUUGAG